AUGGCGGCGGGGCUGGAGACGAGCGGGCAACGGUUCUUGUGGGUUGUGCGGCGCCCUGCAACAGGCGACGAGCACCACCAGUCGGCCGACGACCUGGACGCGCUCUUUCCCAAGGGCUUCCUGCACCGGACCAAGGAGAGGGGACUGGUUGUCAUGUCGUGGGCCCCUCAGCGGGACGUGCUGGCGCACGGCGCGGUCGGCGGUUUUGUGACGCACUGCGGAUGGAACUCGGUGCUGGAGGCGGUCAUGGCGGGCGUGACGAUGCUGGCGUGGCCUCUGUACGCCGAGCAACGCAUGAACAAGGUGAUUUUGGUGGAGGGGAUGCAGCUGGCCGUGGCCAUGGAAGGGUACGACAAACAGAUGGUGGAAGCUCAGGAGGUGGCCGCCAAGGUCAGGUGGGUGAUCGAGUCCGACGGUGGGCGGGAGCUCCGGCAGCGAACGCACGCAGCCAUGCGGGAUGCCAAGGAGGCGCUGGGCAACGCUGGCGAGUCGACAGCUGCGUUGCUGCAGCUUGCAAGAAAGUGGAAGAAUGCCGACCACAGCUGA
rnacentral:rRNA from 1 species